ACGGGUGAGUAACGCGUGGGCAACCUGCCCUGUACCGGGGGACAACAGCCAGAAAUGGCUGCUAAUACCGCAUAAGCCUGCGGUGCCGCAUGGCACAGCAGGGAAAACCACGGUGGUACAGGAUGGGCCCGCGUCUGAUUAGUUAGUUGGCAGGGUAACGGCCUACCAAGACGAUGAUCAGUAGCCGGCUUGAGAGAGUGGACGGCCACAUUGGGACUGAGACACGGCCCAGACUCCUGCGGGAGGCAGCAGUGGGGAAUAUUGCACAAUGGGGGGAACCCUGAUGCAGCAAUGCCGCGUGGGUGAAGAAGCACUCCGGUGCGUAAAGCCCUGUCAGCAGGGAAGAAAAUGACAGUACCUGACCAAGAAGCCCCGGCUAACUACGUGCCAGCAGCCGCGGUAAUACGUAGGGGGCAAGCGUUAUCCGGAUUUACUGGGUGUAAAGGGAGCGCAGGCGGUAUGGCAAGUCAGAUGUGAAAACCCAGGGCCCAACCCUGGGACUGCAUUUGAAACUGCCAUACUGGAGUGCCGGAGAGGUAAGUGGAAUUCCUAGUGUAGCGGUGAAAUGCGUAGAUAUUAGGAGGAACACCAGUGGCGAAGGCGGCUUACCGGACGGUAACUGACGCUGAGGCUCGAAAGCGUGGGGAGCAUACAGGAUUAGAUACCCUGGU
rnacentral:rRNA from 1 species